GAACGAGAAAGUGGAGCAAUCCAUGAGUACAGUGGCGACCGGGUGAGUAGCACGUGACUAACCUACCCUCGAGUGGGGGAUAACUCCGGGAAACCGGAGCUAAUACCGCAUAACAUCGCAAGAUCAAAGCAGCAAUGCGCUUGAGGAGGGGGUCGCGGCUGAUUAGCUAGUUGGUAGGGUAAUGGCCUACCAAGGCUGAGAUCGGUAUCCGGCCUGAGAGGGCGCACGGACACACUGGAACUGAAACACGGCCCAGACUCCUACGGGAGGCAGCAGUGGGGAAUAUUGGACAAUGGGCGAAAGCCUGAUCCAGCAAUGCCGCGUGAGUGAUGAAGGCCUUAGGGUUGUAAAGCUCUUUUACCCGGGAUGAUAAUGACAGUACCGGGAGAAUAAGCCCCGGCUAACUCCGUG
rnacentral:rRNA from 1 species